AAAAUCCGUUGGCUUUAUUGACCAUGAGGGUUCAAGUCCCUCUAUCCCCA
rnacentral:tRNA from 1 species